rnacentral:rRNA from 1 species
AAUAGAUACCCCGGUAGUCCAUGCCGUAAACGUUGGGCACUAGGUGUGGGGGACAUUCCACGUUUUCCGCGCCGUAGCUAACGCAUUAAGUGCCCCGCCUGGGGAGUACGGCCGCAAGGCUAAAACUCAAAGGAAUUGACGGGGGCCCGCACAAGCGGCGGAGCAUGCGGAUUAAUUCGAUGCAACGCGAAGAACCUUACCAAGGCUUGACAUGAACCAGACCGGGCUGGAAACAGUCCUUCCCCUUGUGGGUUGGUUUACAGGUGGUGCAUGGUUGUCGUCAGCUCGUGUCGUGAGAUGUUGGGUUAAGUCCCGCAACGAGCGCAACCCUCGUUCUAUGUUGCCAGCACGUGAUGGUGGGGACUCAUAGGAGACUGCCGGGGUCAACUCGGAGGAAGGUGGGGACGACGUCAAAUCAUCAUGCCCCUUAUGUCUUGGGCUUCACGCAUGCUACAAUGGCCGGUACAAAGGGUUGCGAUACUGUGAGGUGGAGCUAAUCCCAAAAAGCCGGUCUCAGUUUGGAUUGGGGUCUACAACUCGACCCCAUG